rnacentral:tRNA from 1 species
GGAGAGGUACUGCAGUGGACUAACAGGCACGCCUGGAAAGCGUGUGUGGUCGCAAGGCCACCGCGGGUUCGAAUCCCGCCCUCUCCG